GUAGGUGAACCUGCGGAAGGAUCAUUAAAAAUGAAGCCGGGAAACCGGUCCUUCUAACCCUUGAUUAUAAUAAUUUGUUGCUUUGGUGGGCCGCGUAAGCACCGGCUUCGGCUGGAUCGUGCCCGCCAGAGGACCACAACUCUGUAUCAAAUGUCGUCUGAGUACUAUAAAAUAGUUAAAACUUUCAACAACGGAUAUCUUGGUUCUC
rnacentral:misc_RNA from 1 species